CGAGUGUAUACAUGUUCAUCAACAAUUAUGAGCAAGCGUCUGUAUUUGUGGCUCUUCUGGCGAUUCUUGUUGAAGACAGUUCAACGCAGAGCAUUGGAGGUUGCAUCGGAGGUAUAGGAUCAGUACAUAUUGGAGCUUAGAUCUGGACAACGUAAGUUGGCUUCCACAUGAGUCGCCAAAAGAGCUGCAUGUGGUGAUGCUCGCUGAUGGCUGAUGACGAAGUUUUGGUCUUG